rnacentral:misc_RNA from 1 species
GAUGAAGAACGUAGCGAAAUGCGAUAAGUAAUGCGAAUUGCAGAAUUCAGUGAGUCAUCGAAUCUUUGAACGCACAUUGCGCCCCUUGGUAUUCCGAGGGGCAUGCCUGUUCGAGCGUCAUUUUGACCACUCCCGCUUGCGGGGUCUUGGGCCUUCGCCUCUGGGCGGGCCUUAAAAUCAGUGGCGGUGCCGUCCGGCUCUAAGCGUAGUAAAUCUCCUCGCUAUAGGGUUCCGGAGGGAUGCUGGCCAACAACCCCCAACUUUUAAGGUUGACCUCGGAUCAGGUAGGGAUACCCGCUGAACUUAAGCAUAUCAAUAAGCGGAGGA